rnacentral:lncRNA from 1 species
AUCCAAAUCUAGCAUUUCACCUAACGAGUUCGCAUCAACAUUCAUUCAGAAUCCAAAAACUAGGAUCUACAGCCCAGAAAGGCGAUCAUAAAUCCACAUAUAGCCAGACAAGAACUGCAAAGGCAAAUGAGCACAGGCACAUUACUUCAAAGUUGACUUAUUCAUACUUAACGGUACAGAUGUACCUGCAACUGUUUGCACCAAACCACAGGACUCGAUGGUCCAUUAAAGCAGCAGACACAGUACGACUUCACACAAACGAGACAUCACUUGAACAAAGGCGACACAGGGUACAGCAGCAGCAGCAGCAGGUCAAACGAUAGGGCAAUUACUGACCACCACGGAGGCGGAGCACCAGGUGAAGGGUGGACUCCUUCUGGAUGUUGUAGUCGGCUAGGGUGCGACCAUCCUCCAGCUGCUUGCCAGCGAAGAUAAGGCGCUGCUGGUCCGGGGGAAUGCCCUCCUUGUCCUGGAUCUUA